rnacentral:rRNA from 1 species
GACGAACGCUGGCGGCAGGCCUAACACAUGCAAGUCGAACGCUCCGCAAGGGGAGUGGCGCACGGGUGAGUAACACGUGGGAACCUACCUUCUGGUACGGAACAACCAAGGGAAACUUUGGCUAAGACCGUAUACGACCUCCGGGUGAAAGAUUGAUCGCCGGAAGAGGGGCCCGCGUCCGAUUAGGUAGUUGGUGAGGUAACGGCUCACCAAGCCUUCGAUCGGUAGCUGGUCUGAGAGGAUGACCAGCCACACUGGGACUGAGACACGGCCCAGACUCCUACGGGAGGCAGCAGUGGGGAAUAUUGGACAAUGGGCGCAAGCCUGAUCCAGCCAUGCCGCGUGAGUGAUGAAGGCCUUCGGUUG